ACCUCCUGCAGUACAAAGCUGGGAGGCUGGGUGUUAAAUCUGCAGGUUAACGACAACGAUCCCAUCAUGUACACAUUUCAUCAAUCUUUGAAACUUGAGGCUGGAAGAGAUGUCACUAUAAGGGUUCCAGGUCAAGGUCACAGUCAUUCUGACACUGAGCUGGAGUGGAAGGAUCUGAAGCCCUGGAGCUCUGGAGACAGACUGAAGUUCUCCCUCUACAGCAAAACUGGAGAUAUGCAAUAUGAACUCUGUAUGUAAUCCACUUAAACAGAAUAACUAACCUCCUCUGUUCUGCUCUGUUGAUCUUACUCCACUUUUAUUAGAAGUUUCAAAUAAACUCUCAAUUGCAAAAACACAGCAGGAGUUUCAGGAAGUAGCUCAAAUUGAGAUGAGAUGAGUCAUGAGAGAAAGUUCUCAUUAUAAACAUCAUAAACAGGAACAGCAUGACUUCCUGCCCAAACACAGGUUGCUGUGACGCUCAGUGAAGACGAGGAGAUCAACCAUUUACAGACACACUUUUAUUAUUCUGAUAUUCAACAAUUUAAAACAUGUUUUGUGGUAAACAGAUCUUCCUUUGAUUGAUGGCCACUGCUUUUAUAUUCUACUGAAAAUCUACUCUUUUCGUUAAAAAAUUAUAAUUUAGAAAUCUCAGAAAUGGAAAUGUUUGAAAUUGUGUUUUAUAUUGAUAGGUUCAGAAGCUGAUGUGCCGCUUUGAUAAUGUUCGCUUUGGGAAAUACCAACUUCCAUGUAUGUUUUUAAUACAUGUCACAUGGGGUGCUACUUAUUAUUAUGUUCAAUCCACAGAAUUAUGUUAUACGCUACGUUUAUGCCAUGAAACUGUGAAUGUUUUUCUGUUUCUACAAAGCCUCUUAAAAGCCUCUUCUACAUAUACACAUACAUUUAUAUAAAAUAUAUGUUCUGUGGGUUGUGUCUGAGAAGCUGAAAGUAUCUGGAGUCUAAAAUAAAACUCAGAUCAACAUACCCUCAGCUCGCCUUUUAAAAUAAAUGCAUGCGUCAGUCA